rnacentral:SRP_RNA from 1 species
GCUGGGCAUGGUGGUGCAUGCCUGUAAUCCAAGCUACUUGGGAGGCUGAGGCAGGAGAAUCACUUGAACCUGGGAGGUGGAGAUUGCAGUGAGCAGAGAGCUGAGAUUGUGCCACUGCACACUCCAGCCUGGGUGGCAGAGUGAGACUAUGUCUCCA